AGGCCUAACACAUGCAAGUCGAGCGGUAACAGGACUAGCUUGCUAGUUGCUGACGAGCGGCGGACGGGUGCGUAACACGUAGGAAUCUGCCCGGUAGUGGGGGAUAGCCCGGAGAAAUCCGGAUUAAUACCGCAUACGCCUUACGAGGGAAAGGAGGGGCCUCUUCGGAGCCUUUCGCUAUCGGAUGAGCCUGCGUCGGAUUAGCUAGUUGGUGGGGUAAAGGCCUACCAAGGCGACGAUCCGUAGCUGGUCUGAGAGGAUGAUCAGCCACACUGGGACUGAGACACGNNNCAGACUCCUACGGGAGGCAGCAGUGGGGAAUAUUGCACAAUGGGGGAAACCCUGAUGCAGCCAUGCCGCGUGUGUGAAGAAGGCUCUAGGG
rnacentral:rRNA from 1 species